rnacentral:rRNA from 1 species
CACGCAUGACACACUGCAUAUCAAUAAGCGGAGGAAAAGAAACUAACAAGGAUUCCCUUAGUAACGGCGAGUGAAGCGGGAAGAGCUCAAAUUUGAAAUCUUCAAGGUUCUACCUUGACGAAUUGUAGUUUAUAGAAGUGUUUUCUGUUAGUAGGAGUGGCAAAAGUUCUUUGGAAUAGGACAUCAUAGAGGGUGAGAAUCCCGUAUUUGGUCAUUCUUCUAGCGUUGUGAUACACUUUCAACGAGUCGGAUUGUUUGGGAAUGCAGUCCAAAAUGGGUGGUAAAUUUCAUCUAAAGCUAAAUAUUGGCGAGAGACCGAUAGCGAACAAGUACCGUGAGGGAAAGAUGAAAAGAACUUUGAAAAGAGAGUUAAACAGUACGUGAAAUUGUCAAAAGGGAAGCGUUUGACACCAGUGUUGUUUUCUCGAAAAUCAAUUUAAAAUGGCUGGAUGCUAAGUUGCUAAGACUUUAUCAGCUUGUUUCUUAGUUUUCUUGUCUUUUUAAAUGCACUUUUCGUUUAACAAGUCAACAUCAAUUUCUUUUGCUGUAAAAGGGUAAGAGGAAGGUGGCUUUGACUUCGGUUAAAGUGUUUAUAGCCUUUUACCUCUGCAGUCGGAGAGAUUGAGGUCUGCAGCGUAGACUCUUCGGGGUUAGAUACAUUUGUGCUAAGUUAUAGCCUUUCAUAGACAACUUGUUGACUAUGAUCAGUCAUGUAGCUUACUCGCUUAUGCUAUUUUACCUACGCUUAGGAUGUUGAUCUGUAGUGCGUGCGC